rnacentral:antisense_RNA from 1 species
GGGGAGAGGUAGGGUUGUGGACUGCCUUUUGUUCCACAGGGGUCUUGGAGGGUCUUAGGGGUCUUAAUGUCCCUGGGGGAUAUAAAAACUGAGAUCUGGACCCACAGACUUUAGGAGGCUGCAGAGAGACGACAGACGCAGACUUCAGAAAUCACAUUUCUUUUCCAAGCGAACUUUAUUUCUCUCAAUGACCCGUAGGGCGAUUACAGUCACGGCUCCCGUGGGGAGCAGAGGUUCAGUGAUGUAGCGACAGCCUGGUCACCAAAUCAGCAUUAUUAAGACAACUGGGUUAGAUAAAUAUCUUGUUUUAAACAUAAGCAAAAGAAAAGGGGGAGGCAACGAGGCGGGGGUGGGGGACCAGAUGGGGAUAGCUGGUAGUUUAGCUCCGUUUUCACAGAAAACAUGUUGGCCUGAAGACAGCUUCCCAACGCUGGGUCCUCCAGGACGCCCCGGCCUUCCAAAUAAAUACAUUCAUAAGCAAAUAAAUAAAUAAUAAAUAAUAAAUAAAUAGUCACAGGUGCAAUUAUAAAUAUAGGGGGUUCCGUAAGGAAGGCUGGGCGCUGUGCCUCAGGGAACAGUCUGGGAAGCUCUGAGGGAGGGAAGGAAGGAAGGAAGGGAGGCCUGAGACAUCUUCAGCAGCCUUGUGAGCCAGAGACAGCCUGAUCCACUCCCCCCUCCACUCCCCCGAUCCACUCAGGCAUCGACAUUCGGGGAUCCAGUGAGUUCCGAAAGCCCAUUGGAAUCCUUGCCGGUGGCGGCUCAUGAGCAGCCCGCAAUCCAGGCCACUACUUCAGCAUCUCGUGUGUUUCUGAGCAUCGUAGUUGUUGGAAAUUCUGAGCCCGGAGUUGGACCCUGAGCCACAAUUCCCUUUCUAAGUUAGAAGGACACAGAUUGGGGGCUCUGAGGAGUAGACGAUAAAGGGGUCAGAGUAAUGGGGGUCAGAGUCGGGGACAGGGGCUGGGUAGAGAACGGAUGAACACGCCAGU